CUUAGAGUUUGAUCCUGGCUCAGGACGAACGCUGGCGGCGUGCUUAACACAUGCAAGUCGAACGGGGUGUUUAUUUCGGUAAACACCAAGUGGCGAACGGGUGAGUAACGCGUAAGCAAUCUACCUUCAAGAUGGGGACAACACUUCGAAAGGGGUGCUAAUACCGAAUGAAUGUAAGAGUAUCGCAUGAGACACUUACUAAAGGAGGCCUCUGACAUAAGCUUCCGCUUGAAGAUGAGCUUGCGUCUGAUUAGCUAGUUGGUGAGGGUAAAGGCCCACCAAGGCGACGAUCAGUAGCCGGUCUGAGAGGAUGAACGGCCACAUUGGGACUGAGACACGGCCCAGACUCCUACGGGAGGCAGCAGUGGGGAAUCUUCCGCAAUGGGCGAAAGCCUGACGGAGCAACGCCGCGUGAACGAUGAAGGUCUUAGGAUCGUAAAGUUCUGUUGUUAGGGACGAAGGAUAAGGAUUAUAAUACAGUCUUUGUUUGACGGUACCUAACGAGGAAGCCACGGCUAACUACGUGCCAGCAGCCGCGGUAAUACGUAGGCGGCAAGCGUUGUCCGGAAUUAUUGGGCGUAAAGGGAGCGCAGGCGGGAAACUAAGCGGAUCUUAAAAGUGCGGGGCUCAACCCCGUGAUGGGGUCCGAACUGGUUUUCUUGAGUGCAGGAGAGGAAAGCGGAAUUCCCAGUGUAGCGGUGAAAUGCGUAGAUAUUGGGAAGAACACCAGUGGCGAAGGCGGCUUUCUGGACUGUAACUGACGCUGAGGCUCGAAAGCUAGGGUAGCGAACGGGAUUAGAUACCCCGGUAGUCCUAGCCGUAAACGAUGGAUACUAGGUGUGGGAGGUAUCGACCCCUUCCGUGCCGGAGUUAACGCAAUAAGUAUCCCGCCUGGGGAGUACGGCCGCAAGGUUGAAAC
rnacentral:rRNA from 1 species